rnacentral:lncRNA from 1 species
GUUAAGCUUGGUGCUACCUCUUUGUUUUUUUUUUUGUUUUCUUUGUUAUUAAAGAGUAAUAGAUAGUUUUUGAAUAUUGAGAAGUGAGUCUAUGGAAUAAAUCAGAGAUUGAUUUAUGAGUUAUUGACUAUAUAAUUGGAGUACUGAGUGAUUGAAUUAUAUGAGAAAGUUAUUGGAAGAUUGAUUAUCAAUGGAAGAUUAUGAUAGUUGUUUAUUGAGAAUUCUAUGUGUGUGUUUCGACAGAGAAAGUCUGUGAUUACAAGAAUUCUGUGAAUUCAAAUUGGUUGGAGUGAAGUCUGAUAUUCUUGGUGUUGGAUGGAAUUCAUGAGUUUUGAGCAGUCUUUUAAGAAUG